AAAUAAUCUGUGAUGAAAAUUAAAACGUAUAACCAUAAUCAGAUCAGGCAUCUCUAUCCCCCUUACAAUGCACAUGGUUUGGUCCAUUUUCCACGAGGAGAAAAAAAAAUACAGCUGAUCUGACAGUUGCUCCGUCAUGUAGCCUAAGCAUUCACGAGAGAUAACCACUAUGCCCCCCUCAAAAACAAAAUUGGGUUUCCAGAAAAAGGAAGAAAGGAAACAGAGACAGCGAAAUUCAGGGAAUAAAUUACUCACUACGUUUUUACACAGAAAAAAAAACGAGGAGAAUGAUUUGAGUGGUAAGUCAGUGCAGACGGCCUGCAGAACUGAGUAGCCUAGCUAGCCAAUAUAGCUAGCUUGCUAGCGUGGACUCACUCGGCUCGGUCAGAGUAGUAAUUAUUAACAUGAUGAUGAUGAGCUACAACUACCAGCUAUGGCUAGAUAAUUUGGUAUUAUUUAGAUAUUCUUGUAUUCCCCAAUAUUUGCGUGAUAUUUGUUAGCUAGCUAGACUAAAAUUAAAACCUAACAUGUAGCCUACCUAUCCAUACUGUAAAUGCUACUACUAUUGCUGUAGACAAAGAUCCCAACGUGUGUCCACUACAUGAAGGUAUGGUGUUCUUUGGAUGCAACUCAGCAUUCUUUGUCCUCCAAACACGACGAGUUGAGUUUUUACCAAAAAUGUAUCUUUUGGUUUCAUCUGACCAUAUGACAUUCUCCCAAUCUUCUGGAUCAUCCAAAAUGCUCUCUAGCAAACUUCAGAUGGGCCUGGACAUGUACUGGCUUAAGCAGGGGGACACGUCUGGCACUGCAGGAUUUGAGUCCCUGGCGGCGUAGUGCGUUACUGAUGGCAAGCCCCCCCCGUCAAAAGAAAAUCUGCCCUGACUGAUGGGUCACCAUUGAUCCUUCGACAUCACCGGACCAUCUGGUGAAGCAUCCAGGGUCCCAGACCCCGUGACCCGAAGCUCUCACUCCUGCACAUCCAUCCUUGUAGCCAUUUUGAAUGCCUUGACGCCCUCCUCUUUGUUAUCUGUGCCCCACUACAGACAACACCCAUCCAACAUCUGAACAUCUUGAAAAAGAUGAAUUUUAAUAAAUGUGCUAUAUGAAUAAAGUUUGAUUUGAUUGAUGACAUUACAGCUGUAGAAUAUUUAAGUGCAGUUUUUCCAUAAACUUUUAAUUGUUAACUUGGGAUUGUAUCACUUGACAUAUCAAUUAUAUAGUGGAAAUGAUCC
ensembl:lncRNA